ensembl:lncRNA
GGCCCAGCCCAGAAAGCAGUGGGGUUUGGGAAAAAGCAGGAAAAGGGUGCAACUGUAGAGGGCUAUCAGCAAAAAGCAACUAUUUUGUCAAGCAAAGUGUGACUUUGAUUGCUUGCUACCUCUCUGCAAGACUUUUACAAACAUUUUAAAUGUUCCUCUCUAGUGAACGUCAGCAUCGAAGUGCACUAGGACAUUACAGUAGGUGACUUCGUUUGUGACCUUACCGGGCUUAAAAAGAUGACCCGAUGGGACAGUAGUGGAGAGGGUAGUAAGUUUUAAGUUCCUCGGGGUACACAUCACAGACAAACUGAAUUGGUCCACCCACACAGAAAGCGUGGUGAAGAAGGCGCAGCAGCGCCUCUUCAACCUCAGGAGACUGAAGAAAUUCGGCUUGUUACCAAAAGCACUCACAAACUUUUACAGAUGCACAAUCAAGAGCAUCCUGUCGGGCUGGAUCACCGCCUGGUACGGCAACUGCUCCGCCCACAACCGUAAGGCUUUCCAAAGGGUAGUGAGGUCUGCACAACGCAACACCGGGGGCAAACUACCUGCCCUCCAGGACACCUAAACCACCCGAUGUCACAGGAAGGCCAUAAAGAUCAUCAAGGACAACAACCACCCGAGCCACUGCCUGUUCACCCCGCUAUCAUCCAGAAGGCGAGAAAAUGAGGACAACACUUCAGCGAAAACACUCUGGCAAAUCGGCAAUGACAAAGGCCUUCAGCAAACCGAAGGGCCACAGCAGGGAUGGCGUCCCAGUCCCAUCACCAAGAGCACGGCUGAUCCAAAGCCUAACGUCCCAGAGUGCAGAGUUUGUGAUGGAGGAGCACAUGCAGCUCAGCACUGGACUGUAGACCCAAGAGAGACACUUUUCAGUGACACACUCAUCAUCACUAAAUCAAAGUCUUCCUCAAGCCUCAAACUGAAGGAGAGUGUGAGGCUGUGUGAGAUGUGGUUGGGUUCUUGCAUUGAAGAGGAUGAUGAGAGAACUGACCUCAAAGAACUCCUUUGUCAUUGGCUGGCCUACCACCAAUUACGUGGUGACUCUCAGAUAGGCUACUCCAAUCAUUAAAAUAAAUUUUUCAAUUGCCAGAAAAAUAGAUUAAAAUUAACUUGGGGGGGUAAGAUGACAUUUGUUUUCCCAAUCAGUUCAUCUGAUUGAGAAAUGGAGAAAUGGCUUUCAUCUUUACAACGGCACAUCACCAAAUCCAAGAAAGUGGAAUAUCCCAGCAAUCUAACCAUGAAGGUUGUUCUCAUAAAUAUUGGAACUAGUGCAAUGGUUGCAGCUCUCGUUCAACAUCUCAUUGAAAACACCCCAGCCAUUUUUGGUGAAGAUGUUGAGUGCAUUUUUACUGAGCCAAAGAAAGAACAAGGAACUGCAGAGGAUGUCAUGGUGGAGUCUUACCAGCAGGUCGACUCGUCUGAUUAUUGGGACUGAGAGAAGCAAGAAGGACUUCACUCUCCUAACAGGGAACCUUUUUCCUGCCAUUGGAGAAACUGGUCUUGAAAGAGAUUUUGGGGCUUCUGAAUGAGGUUGACUCCUUGAAAAAGCAACAUGUGACUGAGGACAGUGCUUAUAGCUGUGGGAAUCUAGACUUAAUGUCUUCCCUCUCCAGUAGGUCUAUCUGCUCCCUGAUGGGGACACAACGUUUUUGCUCAGCUCGCUGCUCCUCGCUGCUCCCAUUGUGUGUCUAAGCUCCCCCCGGUUAGGGUCCCACAGCCAGCUCUACACUCUUGUCGCCCGCCAGUCCAGCUGCGAUGCAGCAGUGAUGUGUGGCCGUGCAGACCACUCCCAACACACACACACAAAUCCCACACUUAAGGGGCUACUAAAGUGGGACAGCAGCCCCAGGGUAGGUGGCAGCAAGUCUAGGUAUGCCUUCUGGAGGUCCCCUCAUGUAGCCUCGAGGUUCUGGCACCUUUCCCAGAGGCUGGCCGUGUCCAACAGGUCCAGUUUCUCCAGCCUGUCCUCCACAGGCACCUCUCCAUCUACCUCCUCUCUGAGCUCCAAAGACAGCGCCUUCUCCUUCUGCACCGACUCUGUGUCCUCUCCCAACGAGCCCAACUCCCUCCCCUUCCUGUUCGGCAUGUCGGCACGGUUAUGCCCUCUCACUCCAGACACCACAAAGAAAUUCCCAAAAGAUUGGAGUAUGACAUUCCCAGUGGCAGUUGCUCAGGCACCCAAGGAUUUGGACGGGUAUAAUUGGUCUGAUGAGAGAAAGGGAGACUAGAAGCAUUGCCAUUCUAUUAGCAUUCAGAAUAGAGAAGACCACCAGAUGCUCACCCAAAGCCUCUGUAGUUUAAAAGGUGAGUAUAUUUAAAGCCCUGUCUCUCAACCAGACAGUGAAAGGAUUCUCUCUGAUUGGAGAGGGGAGCAGGUGCACCAGAGCCAGAAGGAUAAAGUGUUCAAGUUGUCAGAGUCAAAAGGACAGACCAAAGAAACAUCCAUUGCACACAUACAGCUGACAAAUAAAAAAAACUGUCUGUCAAGAAGGAAGGGGACGAAAGGGGACGAAAAUUACAUUUUACACCUCCUCUAACAGAAUGCUGGUGAAAAAACAGUCUGAUCAAUCUGUGGAACAGUGUGGAGUCGCUCUGGUAUCUGACACAGGGAGACCACAUCAGGAAAAUGGGGAACUGCUGGCCCAAAGUGUGCAGCUCCACAUACCCCAGACAGUGUCCUAUGGUCAAAACACUCCACUGGUCCUGCAGUCUGUCAACCAGACAAUUUGCAAAUAACAAGAAAGGAUCAAAGGCCAAAACAGAUAUUCACCUUGGUGAAGUGGUCCCUGAACAGUUGGGUGGUGGGUGCACUCCUCUCUCCCACACAUCAUCUAAAACUCAUGCCAAAACUGCAAGCACAAUCAGCCACAAGACUGCAAGCACAAUCAGCCACAAGACUGCAAGCACAAUCAGCCACAAAACCGCAUGUGCAAUCAGCCACACUAUUAGAAUAAAACUGCAAGCAACUGUCAGAAAUACUGUGAGAGAAUACUUCAACUCAAGUGACAGCCAGAAUGGCCACUUAGAUGCAAAACGGAACGAAAAAGAGCUCCUCCAGUGGCAAAAUAAAAUGUUGGAACCAACAGAAAAUGCCACAAUGCGAUCACAUGGUGAGGAGUUGCCUGAUUGUUAAUGCUCAUCAUUUGGUGUUUUGUAAUGGGCUGUCAGAAUGUAGAUCAUCCUGGGUUAUUUCACCCUCCUCUGUGUGUGUAUUUUUUGCUAAAUUAUAAAUUAAGUCAAUGAAGGAUCCCACUGGGCAUAGACAUCAGUUCAAAGUCUAAUUUUGAUUAACUUUAAGUUGAGUUGUCAUCUAAGGUGAAUUCAACAUGAAAUCAAGAAAACAUUUCACCAUGUCAUUGGAUUUAGGUUCAAAAUUAGGUUCGAAAUUAGGUUCGAAAUUAUCUUAUAUUGAUGACUUUUUGCAAAUCCAAUCAGUUUUUACACAUGGAUUCAACAUCAUCACAUUUCAUUUUUUGGUUGAAAUUAUGUGGAAACAACAUUGAUUCAACCAGUUUUUGCCCAGUUGGAUGGUGCAGAUUGAAUGCAGGCACUCAAACCACUCAGACAGAGCAUUUCCUCCAAUGGAGUAGGGAUUCAUAACCUUAAUCAUUUUCUAUACAGAAGCAUUAUGAAUAAGGACCAGACAUCUUGACAUCACUGUGAUGUAUGUGUUUCCUAAUGGGGCUGUGAUAAUCUGUCGGUGAAAAAGUAAAAACAACCAAAUUUGAGGCAAAUUAGGUAUAAGAUGCACAACUUGUAUAUGGGCAAACACAUCUUAUAUUCAGUAGUUCUUCUCGGGUGUAUGUAAAGAAACCUAAGAUGACCUGGGGUACUAGUGUAAGAAAUAACACGUAAAAAAACAAAAAACUGCAUAGUUUCCUAGGAACGCGAAGCGAGGCGGCCAUCUCUGUCGGCGCCGGAAGCGAGAUUGUAUGGUGUGCAACACAUAUUCCUGCUGUAUAGUUAACAUCUGGUUAAUAAGUAAUCACCUACUUCUCACUUUUAUUGCUAAAGAAAAAUGACCAACGUAAAUCACAUUGCAUAUAGUGAGUUAAAAUGUUUGUUUUGUUUUUGCACAGUUCAGUGCUAUUUUGCAUUUGCAAAAUGAAGCCUCAUGUAUAGAUCUCAUUUAGACGCAUUGAUAUAACGGUCUUAAACACAUAAUAACAUAUACUGUACCACUUUUACCACAUCAUUGUUUGUUUUUAUGUAUGUUUUAUCCUAGAACUGUAACUUUGAACAAUAAUCAUAUGUAGCGUUAACCUUGAUAUCAACGUGUGUGUGUGUGUGUGUGUGUGUGUGUGUGUGUGGGGGGAUUUGCACCUCUUCACCCCUGUACGAGCUUAUGUUGAUGGCACCACUGAUAAUAAAUCAAGUUAGCCCUAAACAUCUCUGAAUCUCUGAGUAUGUUUUCCCAUGCCUUCUCAGUCCCAGGGUCCUAGGCAUAAUGUUUCCUUUUAUUUCUUUAUUGAGUUUAUUUAUUGAGUUUAUUUGAGCAAGGACAAUGUACAUCAGAAGCAUUAGUCUCAGUACACUUGAGAAAAUAUGUGUUGUAUCAGAUUUAGCUAGCAGCUCAUUUCCGUCUGCAGUUCCAGGGCAGGUUAAAAUCAAAACAAGAAAACAUUAUGAAGCCAGCAGGCUGGAUGCCUUGUUACAGAGCUACAAACAAUGAUUUGUAACACUUAACUUACUAUUUCUAAUUACAGAAAUGACUUCUAAAGGCAUGCUACUUUAGGCAAUGGCCCGCUGCUGGCAGUAUUUUCUUUUUAAUGCUAUGUACCGUUAACAUGUAAUUGCUACAACUGAUUCUACAACCGAACCUACUUCAAGCUAGUUGAUUGAUAGGGCAAAGGGUAGUGAUAUGUUCCUGAGUGAUAUGUUCCUGGGGAUGUUUGAUUAUUAUUAGACUUCGUACAAUAGGUGCGAGGGGCAGCAAGUUGCAUGAAGGAUCACUGGCUGCCUUUAGAUCCCACAGCGUCCCUCAACUAUUGGGGCACGUGGACAGUCAUACCAUCCAUCCACUUCUGCACUGUCACAUGGCAACCAAGAUGGGACCUGUCAAUCAGAAGCAGAUUAAAAGGCUCAGACAUAUAGUUUCAGAAGCAGAUUAGGCUCAGACAGAUAGUUUCAGAGCAUUUACAUAGACAACUUCAGAUUUGUUUUAAACUGAAUUACUGAAUUUACUGCAACCUGUUGCUUCUACGUCAGUUCAGCAGUCAGGCCCUGUCUGGAGUAAAUCAAGAAAAUAUGUGUGUGCUUGUUUUGCUGGGGCCUUGAUCAAGUAUGUAAAUCAUAACAUUUCGACAAGCAAACACAUGUAAAUUGUUUAUGUAACCUAGUACCAUCAUCUUUGAAAUGCAAGAGAAAGGCCAUAGUGUAUUAUUCCAGCCCAGGUACAAUUUAGAUUUUAGCCACUAGAUGGUAUAGGUGUAUGUGCAAAGCUUUAAACUGAUCCAAUGAACCAUUUCAUUUCUGAUUAAAAUGUUGUAUCAAGAGUGCCCAAAUGUGCCUAAUUUGUUCAUUAGUAACUUUUCAUGUUCAAAAUUGUGCACUCUCCUCAAGCAAUAGAAUGGUAUUAUGUCAGUGUAAUAGCUACUGUAAAAUGGACAGUGCAGUUAGAUUAACA